ensembl:lncRNA
UAUUUUUUUUUUUUUUUUUGCUUUAGACACCAGAUCAGAUAAAAGUACCUGGCUUGCAUCCAAAAGCUCCAGCCACCAGCACUCAUUCCUGUCCUGGAAGUGUAUGUAGACCCUAAAGUAAUUUAGGAGCUGCUGACUUUACUAUACAGUAGAAGCAUCUAAUAAGUGUUAAAAGCCUGAACCAAACACCUUGGUCACAUAUCCUCUUUUGUCUCUGUGAAGAGUUUACUUCUGUGUGCAUUUCUCCACACCUUACACACAAAAUCACACCCCAGACAUUGCUGCCCCAUUACUUUGUGGAUAUAGCUAUUCAUGUAAUUACUCUCUAACCCAAACACUCAAAACAACAUAAGCCAGGAUAUAGCUCUACAGAUUGAAGUGUGUAAACUAACCCGAGCAAGUUCAGAUUAUUUGGUCUGGGCAGCUAUUAGAUACCAGCUAUGCCAAUAGGUGAAUGGUAGUGCCUCUGAAGGCACAGAAGGAAAGGCAAGUGAUGAGCUGGAGGCAAGACAGAGCUGGCAGUCUCUCAAGUUAGCAGCAGACGGACACAGCAUCUUUCCCCGCUGAAGUCAUGUUUGUGGCCUUGUCCUGCAGCUCUGGGGGUUACAGUGCUUGACUUCAAAGCAUUAUCUUUAAAUGAAUAUGAAUAAUUACUUGCUACAAAUACAAGACUGUAACUGAGACAAAAAGUGUCAAAAUCAGGAACUUCUGAAUGUUCUGUAACUGUAUCUAGCUGUGCCUAGGGAGUCCCUAGGGACUAUAAUUACUCUAUAAAACAAGUUAACACCUGCUCCUCACACUUUUCUUAAUUAAGAUUCAGUAGAGAUGCGAGUCAUUUUAACGAGUGAUCUGUGGCUCCACAGGAGCCAGUCUGGAGCAGAGGCUGUCUCAACAACACAGCGCAGCUUGUGCAAGGCAAUUACUGCACUUCCUAUAGGGAAACCAAAAUGGUGCUGUUGGCUGUACUGGGCAAGGCCUUUCUGGACGGAGAACAGAAAAUACAGAAUCAGCUAUAUUUUUGGCUGGCAUGUGAUGAUAUCCUGGGGAGACUGAUGGGUAGAUAGAGAAGUGCAUAUAUCUUUGCUCUUAUUUACACCAAGGUAAGUCAAAAAUGUGUAAAAAGCACUGGAAAACACAAGAUGAGGUAAAGACUUUGAGGACACCUUCUAGAGCAUAGGCUCAUUAUUUUGCAUGCUUUUUUUGCUAUUUGGGCCAUGUCAUCUUUAUGUUCGUCCACGAACAAAU